GAGUUUGAUCGUGGCUCAGGAUGAACGCUGGCGGCGUGCUUAACACAUGCAAGUCGAACGAGGAAUUUUAAAUGAGACUUCGGUGGAUUUUAAAAUUCUUAGUGGCGGACGGGUGAGUAACGCGUAGGCAACCUGCCCUGUACAGGGGGACAACAGCUGGAAACGGCUGCUAAUACCGCAUAAGACCACGGAGCCGCAUGGCUCAGUGGGAAAAACUCCGGUGGUACAGGAUGGGCCCGCGUUGGAUUAGGUAGUUGGUGAGGUAACGGCCCACCAAGCCGACGAUCCAUAGCCGACCUGAGAGGGUGACCGGCCACGUUGGGACUGAGACACGGCCCAAACUCCUACGGGAGGCAGCAGUGGGGAAUCUUCCGCAAUGGGCGAAAGCCUGACGGAGCAACGCCGCGUGAGUGAAGAAUUAUUUCGGUAUGUAAAGCUCUAUCAGCAGGGAAGAAAAUGACGGUACCUGACUAAGAAGCCCGGCUAACUACGUGCCAGCAGCCGCCGCAGUAAC
rnacentral:rRNA from 1 species